rnacentral:misc_RNA from 1 species
UUUCCGUAGGUGAACCUGCGGAAGGAUCAUUAUUGUAUAACCGAGGUGCGAGGGCUGUCGCUGACCCGACAGGUCGUGCACGCCCGAGUGCCCUCACACACAUCCAUCUCACCCCUAUGUGCACCACCGCGUGAGUCCCCCUUUGGCUUGUUCGGAGGGGGGCUUACGUUUUCACACAAACUUUGUAUGCAGUGUAGAAUGUAUUUUUUGUUUUUGCGAUCACGCAAUCAAUACAACUUUCAACAACGGAUCUCUUGGCUCUC